rnacentral:lncRNA from 1 species
GUGUAGGCUUAGCUGUGGGUUUACUAAAACUGUAACUGAGACAAGCGGCUGUGGAAAAUCUUAGCUAUCUAAGAAAACUAAAUAGUUCAAAACGUGAGGCAAGCAGUAAGUUCAGGAAAAACAAAUAUUUCAACCCAGUUCUUAGCUCUACUUAGCACUAUAUACAUCGAUCAGCCACGAACACCACUCACUAAUCAUAGUGAUAAAACCAUUUAAGAUCAUAAGAUUUCCUUUACCUGUUGCUUGAAUUUUACAUUACAGAUUUUGACUCUAUAUUUUCAUUAUCAUUCAGUUCCAAGUUUCCUUUAUGAUGUCAUUGGAUACUAGGUUGGAUGUUACCAGUGUUGUCACCAAAACCGAAAAGCUUCUAGAUUCCUCCAAAAUGGUCCUAGAUCAGAACUACUAGGAGUGAUCUGUAAUUUUACCAAGCUCAGCCAGUAAUCCUGAUGCAAGAGCAGGCUGGGUAAACUCUGAUUCAGCAUCUCCCUCCAUGAUGUAAACUGAAAAGACUAAUUGAAAACAUCUGAAUUGUGCUUAGAUGAUUAAGAAGAGAACCCUGACUUGUACCAGAUAAUUGAUGUCAUAAAAGAAAACUGACACAGGGGCUAGGAAGAUUACUGAUAACAGUGACUAGAAAGCUGGAGAAUGCAUCAAGAAAGGACUCUUUCGGCUUGGCAAUAAAAGAAAGUGCUAACUGGGGCACAAAGUUUUGCACCAGAGACCUCCUGGUCUGCAGUCAAAUAUUCUAGCCUUCAGCACUAAUGGGUAGGGAUCCCAAGUGCUGAACACAACUACUGUACCUACACACAGCCCAUGCAGAGCCCCUCUGCACUCCAAAAUCUCAGGAGAGUGAUCAUUAUUUCUCCCAUGAGUCACUCACUCAACAAACAUGGAGCUUGUUAGGUUCUGUGUCCUGUCAUCCACACCGAGGCCACAGACAGGCCACCCUGACCACCUCUGCACACCUGACUGCCACCUCCUCUGGUGACCAGCGCCUCCCGUCACCAGGUCUGGCUGAAGCAGUGACAUUAAAAUCCUGGAGUUCUUCAGGGAGAAGGCCACCACACUCACCUCCAGGAGCCAGACUCAGCAGAAGCUUUGGAGGACAGGAGGGGACAGGGCCAAGGCAGAAGUUCUUGGUUCCCCUGGGAACUAAGCCAGACCCUCAGGGAAGGGGACCUAGGGAUGCUGUGUGCCUCUAA